rnacentral:tRNA from 1 species
GCCCAGGUGGCGGAAUUGGUAGACGCGCCAGAUUCAAAAUCUGGUUCCCGAAAGGGAGUGGGAGUUCGAUUCUCCCCCUGGGCA